GGGAGUGAACCUCCCCGGAGUCGGCUUGCAGUAGCGGGCUUCAAACCGCCCGGUUCUACUGCGUUAAAAAGGUAUGGUGGUGAGCGACUGCGGAAAGGUAAUCCAUCAGGGUGACAGGU
rfam:Burkholderia sp. STM 7183 genome assembly, contig: CYGY01000212